AAGAAUGAGGCCCUUUAGGCCUUGAUCCCACGCCUCUCUGGCUGUGCGCCCUCGGGCAGCACGCUUGAGAACACGUGAUUCUCACACCUGUGCACUUUUGAAACGAGAAAUUCUGUUUCUCGAGUCUGAUCACAAACUAUGUAGUCACGAAAGUCCAGAAUUUCUUUAAUGGAAAAUA
rnacentral:misc_RNA from 1 species